UCCAAAGGCCCUGGGAACCUUGUCAGGGUGCAUGGCUUAAUGAACUCCUUGAAAUACCAGGGCAUUUUAAAUCAAAUUCUGGUGGCCUUUGCGAGAAAGCUGAAGAUGGGUUGUCAUUGGGUCUUCCAGCAGGAUAAUGACCCUAAACAUAUGGCAAAAUCUACACAAAAAUGGCUCAGCAGACACAAAAUCAAGCUCCUCCCAUGGCCAUCUGAGUCCCCAGACCUCAACCCCAUUGAAAACCUGUGGAGUGGGUGCUGUCUUGUUGGCAAAAGGGGGUUGUAUAAAAUAUUAACAGUAGGGGUGCCAAUAAUUGUGGCACACAUGAUUUCAUGUAAAAAAUGUAUUUCUUAAUGUGGGAUUUUUUUCCCACUGAAUAAAUGUACUUCAAUUAAAGGUUGGAUUUUUCUCUUU